rnacentral:rRNA from 1 species
AUACGGAGGGUGCAAGCGUUACUGGGAAUCACUGGGCGUAAAGCGCGCGCAGGCGGCUAUUUAAGUUGGAUGUGAAAGCCUACGGCUCAACCGUAGAACUGCAUCCAAAACUAUUUAGCUAGAGUGUGGGAGAGGAAGAUGGAAUUAGUUGUGUAGGGGUAAAAUCCGUAGAGAUAACUAGGAAUACCAAAAGCGAAGGCAAUCUUCUGGAACACUACUGACGCUGAGGCGCGAAAGCGUGGGGAGCAAACAGGAUUAGAAACCCCGGUAGUCC